GAUGAACGCUAGCUACAGGCUUAACACAUGCAAGUCGAGGGGCAGCGGGGAUCUAGCUUGCUAGAUUUGCCGGCGACCGGCGCACGGGUGAGUAACACGUAUCCAACCUGGCCCAUACUCGGGUAUAGCCUCUCGAAAGGGAGAUUAAUCCCCGAUGUUGUUGUUUCACCGCAUGGUGUUGCAACCAAAGAAUUUCGGUAUGGGAUGGGGAUGCGUUCCAUUAGCUUGUUGGCGGGGUAACGGCCCACCAAGGCGACGAUGGAUAGGGGUUGUGAGAGGAAGGUCCCCCACACUGGAACUGAGACACGGUCAGACUCCUACGGGAGGCAGCAGUGAGGAAUAUUGGUCAAUGGGCGAGAGCCUGAACCAGCCAAGUAGCGUGAAGGAUGACUGCCCUACGGGUUGUAAACUUCUUUUGUUUGGGAAUAAAGUUCAGCACGUGUGCUGUUUUGUAUGUACCAUUCGAAUAAGCAUCGGCUAAUUCCGUGCCAGCCGCCGCUGUAAAAC
rnacentral:rRNA from 1 species